rnacentral:rRNA from 1 species
UAGAUGCGAGAGUAGAGCAUAUCAAUAAGCGGAGGAAAAGAAACUAACUAGGAUUCCCUUCAGUAACGGCGAGUGAAGCGGGAAGAGCUCAAAUUUGAAAUCUUCAAGGUUCUACCUUGACGAAUUGUAGUUUAAUAGAAGUGUUUUCUGUUAGUAGAGUUGGCUAAAAGUUCUUUGGAAUAGGACAUCAUAGAGGGUGAGAAUCCCGUAUUUGGUACCAUUCUUUCCUAACUUUGUGAUACACUUUCAACGAGUCGGAUUGUUUGGGAAUGCAGUCCAAAAUGGGUGGUAAAUUUCAUCUAAAGCUAAAUACUGGCGAGAGACCGAUAGCGAACAAGUACCGUGAGGGAAAGAUGAAAAGAACUUUGAAAAGAGAGUUAAACAGUACGUGAAAUUGUCAAAAGGGAAGCGUUUGACACCAGUGUUGUUUUCUCGAAAAUCAAUUAAAAAUGGUGGGAUGUUGUGUUGUAUUGACUUUAUCAGCUUUCUGCACUUUUUUUCCUAUCUUUUUUAAUGCACUUUUCGUUUAACAAGUCAACAUCAAUUUCUUUUGUUGUAAAAGAGUCAUUGGAAGGUGGCUUUCUUUUCGGAGAAAGUGUUUAUAGCCUUUGGCUUCUGCAAUCGGAGAGAUUGAGGUCUGCAGCGUAGAUCCUUCGGGGUUAGAUGCAUUUGUGCUAAGUUAUAGCCUUUCAUAGACAACUUGUUGACUAUGAUCAGUCAUGUAGCUUACUCGCUUAUGUCAUUUUACCUACGCUUAGGAUGUUGAUAGUCACAGCGUGUAC